rnacentral:rRNA from 1 species
AGCAGUCGCCGCGGGAACACGAAGGGUGCAAGCGUUAAUCGGAAUUACUGGGCGUAAAGCGUGCGCAGGCGGUUAUAUAAGACAGAUGUGAAAUCCCCGGGCUCAACCUGGGACCUGCAUUUGUGACUGUAUAGCUAGAGUACGGUAGAGGGGGAUGGAAUUCCGCGUGUAGCAGUGAAAUGCGUAGAUAUGCGGAGGAACACCGAUGGCGAAGGCAAUCCCCUGGACCUGUACUGACGCUCAUGCACGAAAGCGUGGGGAGCAAACGGGAUUAGAUACCCCAGUAGUCCCUGUCUCUUAUAC